rnacentral:rRNA from 1 species
UACGAAGGGGGCUAGCGUUGCUCGGAAUUACUGGGCGUAAAGCGCACGUAGGCGGCUUCUUAAGUCUGUGGUGAAAUCCGGCAGCUUAACUGUCGAACUGCCGUGGAUACUGGGUGUCUCGAGGGAGGUAGGGGCGUGCGGAACUAUUGGUGGAGCGGUGAAAUGCGUUGAUAUCAAUAGGAACUCCGGUGGCGAAGGCGGCACGCUGGACCUCUUCUGACGCUGAGGCACGAAAGCGUGGGGAGCAAACAGG